rnacentral:rRNA from 1 species
ACGAAGGGUGCAAGCGUUACUCGGAAUUACUGGGCGUAAAGGGUGCGUAGGUGGUUCGUUAAGUCUGCUGUGAAAUCCCCGGGCUCAACCUGGGAAUGGCAGUGGAUACUGGCGAGCUAGAGUGCGGUAGAGGGUAGUGGAAUUCCCGGUGUAGCAGUGAAAUGCGUAGAGAUCGGGAGGAACACCAGUGGCGAAGGCGGCUUUCUGGUCUGUAACUGACGCUGAGGCGCGAAAGCGUGGGGAGCAAACAGGA